rnacentral:rRNA from 1 species
CCUACGGUGGACAGCAGUGGGGGAUAUUGCACAAUGGGGGGAACCCUGAUGCAGCGACGCCGCGUGGGUGAAGAAGCGCCUCGGCGCGUAAAGCCCUGUCAGCAGGGAAGAAAAUGACGGUACCUGAAGAAGAAGCCCCGGCGAACUACGUGCCAGCAGCCGCGGUAAUACGUAGGGGGCAAGCGUUAUCCGGAUGUACGGGGGGGAAAGGGGGCGCAGGCGGCGCUGCAAGCCAGGAGUGAAAGCCCGGGGCCCAACCCCGGGACUGCUCUUGGAACUGCGUGGCUGGAGUGCAGGAGGGGCAGGCGGAAUUCCUGGUGUAGCGGUGAAAUGCGUAGAUAUCAGGAGGAACACCGGUGGCGAAGGCGGCCUGCUGGACUGCAACUGACGUUGAGGCCCGAAAGCGUGGGGAGCAAACAGGAUUAGAUACCCGAGUAGUC